rnacentral:rRNA from 1 species
GCACGGAAGUUAGCCGGUGCUUCUUCUGUCGCUAACGUCAAAGCUUCAAGGUAUUGGCCUGAAGCGUUUCUUUACGACUGAAAGUGCUUUACAACCCGAAGGCCUUCUUCACACACGCGGCAUGGCUGGGUCAGGCUUUCGCCCAUUGCCCAAGAUUCCCCA